AUGGUGCUCUGGGCCGUAUUCCGUCGUGUCUCGGUGGUCAGACCCAGCUUAUACAUCCUGGCAGUGGGAUCCGAUGAGCCGAGGCACGUCAAAGUCAGAAUGCCAACAGUCUCGUCACCUUCCAUGAAACAUAAGUUAAUGAGCGUGUUGCGCUAUUUGAACCAUUGUCCACCAGCAGUUCACCACCGUGGCAGCCUGCACUGGUGUCCUUUUUCUGUUUGCGGUGUCGCCGACAUUACUGUAGGCAGUGGAGACAUUGUUGUAUUCGACACAGAAGCAGAGUCAUUCCGGUGGAUGCACAGUCCUGACCAGCCGUACCCUAAUAGGAGCUUGUUCGAUAUGAAUGGGACACUUGGUUUCUGGGGCAGCUCAAUCGAGGGUGCUGCAGAUGGUUGUUUCAGUUUCACCGCUUUGGAUAUUUGGGUGAUGCGGGACUACAAGGCCGGAAUCUGGGAUUUCAAGCACCGGGUUGACCUGUCAACGGUUGAGGCAUCAUGGCAACUUUAUCUGACCUCUUGCAAAAGGAAAAGGAAAACACCACUUCAAUCGACAGUGCAAUGGUUCAAUGAUAUGGUUGUGCUUAACGAGCGAGAGCUGCUGAUCUUGUUUAAUGAUAAGCAUGUCUUGCGCUAUGACACUGAUGGCAAGGUCUUAGGUUUGGUGAAGAUUGGAGAGAGUCAAUACUGUCUGUCGCUUACUCCCCGCCGCUUCCAAGAGAGUAUUAUUCCAAUUCCGUCCCGCGAGAUGCAAGAAGAUGAGGAGGCUCCGUUCUCCACGGGGUGUCUCUGA
rnacentral:rRNA from 1 species